UUUGAAAAAUUAAUUCAUUUAUUGAUGAAAGAGUUUGAUCAUGAUUGUAUAUUAAAAUGAACAGAAUUAGGAUAUAAUUAACAGUAACAUAACAAUACAAAUAUAUCAUUUGAUCAAAAUAACAAAAUUAAAACCUGAUAAUUUACCAUAAGAGUGAAAAAUAAAAAUAAACAGCAUAUUGAUGAUACUAAAAUACAAUAUAAAAAAUCAUAGAAUAUUAAGAAGAGGUUGAUUAUAUGGGAUUUCAAAUUCAGACUUCCUUUAGCUCAAUAUUUUUUGAAUUGUUUUUUUUUUUAGUUUUCUUUUUUUAUAGCAGAUAUUCAACAACUUAAUUCUACUGUAUCCAAAACUUGGUAAGCCAUUAACUUGAUUUCUCAACAACAAACAUUCAUUUUCAUCCAGUAUCUAAGUUUAGUGAAUGGAAGCCAUGUGUAAAUGGAAGCCAUGUGUGGUACUUUUGGGUCAUCACCAAAAAUUCUUAAAGGAGAAUAUCAAGAACUUGGCAUUAUGAAAUGAUUUUUUAAAAGUUAAAACUUGAAUUCUUAAAUCUGUAUUUGCUCUAGCUAUAUUAAAAUGUGAGAGGUUAUGCAAAGUGCAAUUCCAAUAAAUUAUUUCACCUUGCAAAUACCAAUCAACAUGAAAUAUCAUUUGUUCUUGAUCUGUAUUUUAAAAAGUUUUUUCUGAUUUUGAUUGAAUAGCAGCUAUGGCUAUGAUAUAAAAAAAGAUGUUUGCACAAGCAUCUUCUUUGUGUGCACUAAGUUGCGCCUUUUACACUUCCAGGUUAUCAUAACUUAAAAUACAGCAUUUCUACGAAAACAGUUAGCAAUUUUCAGUUAUUCUCAUGAUUCUCAUAGGUUUUUCUGUCUAGAAUUAUAAUAAAUACAUUUAUGUUACUUUUGUAAAACAAGAAUGAUGUGAUCUAGUGAUCAUAGAUACCCCUGCUUGCAGAAUUGCUUUAUAUGGAAAUACAAAACCAAAAUUAAAAUUGAACAUGACUUUAUUUCAUAAAAUUAUAUCAGUCUUAAAUAAAAAUCAAAACUGUUCUUUCAUUAUUAUCUUGGAACAAAAAAAAUCUAUAUUUCAAGGAAACUAAAAGAAAUAUCUCUUGAAUUGUAUUUUAAGAUCCAUAGUGAUGUGUUCAAAAGAUUUGGUCAAGUGUUUUAACUGUUAUCAGGAAACCACAUAGAAAUACCACAUUUUUUCAGCUUAUUUAUGAGGUAUUACUCUCUAACAGUAAAUAUCAAAAAAAUUAAAAUCUAAGGGCAGAUGAAUAGACAUGGUCAAGAAAAUGUGACACUCGCUUACUAUAGAAUAAUAAAAACAGUUACUGAAUUGAUAUUUGCACAGCUGCUCUUUAUUCUCCUUUAUUUGCAUCCUAUCAUACAUCUUUGAAAUUAUUGAUAUUAUUAUACUUAUCAACUAAAUAUGCUCAUAUAAAUCCUAACAAUACUAACAAGUUGUUGUAUGAAUGUACAGUUAACAUUUAACAUUGAAUAGUGUCCAGAAUAAAGAGUCAAAUAACAAAAAUACCAGGAAAAUUCAAAUCAAAACGUCCUUAAUCAAAUGGCAAUAUCAAAAGAUCAAACACAUCAAACAAAUGGAAAACUACUAUAAUAUUCCUGACUUGGUACAGGUAUUUUCAUAUGUAGAAAAUGGAAGAUUAAAGCUAGGAGUAAUUUUUUUUCCCCAUCUCACAAUUUUUUUCAAGUCGAAGAAUUUUAAAAUGACACUCUAUAUGAAAAAUAUUUGUUUUUGAAAAUAAAUAUAAAAUGGAUAUGGGUUAAACAAUACACAAUGAUAUAUAUAACAAACAGAAAAUAUGUCAAAAAUGCCUUAUGUUUGAACAAAUAUGAUAGAGUGUAAAAAUGUCAAGCCAUGUUUAUACACAUACAUGUACAUGAUUUAACAAAUUUGAAAACCAUUGGAUGUGUUAUUUUAUCAUUUUCAACCACUUUUUCAAUUUUAGAGGUGUUUUUGUCUCCUACAGUCUUAAUUUAAAAAGAUAACUUAUAUAAAUUGUUGCUAUUUCAAUUUCUUUCCUGAAGUAUCAAUGGUCUAUUUGCAAAUUUGGUAAUUGAUUAUGUUUUUAGAGAUUUAUUUGUAGAAGUUAUUCUCCUCCAGAGGUGUACAUCAUCAUUGCAAAUAAAGAGCAAAAAGAAAAAGAAAAUUUAUCUGCGUGAAAUGUGUUCAAAUCUUACAAUUGAAUAUAAUCUAUUGAUAUUUAGAUUACUUAAAAGACCUACAUUUACUUUCAACUUAAUUUGAUUUGAAAGGGAAACAACUUGGUUUGUCCAGUAAAAAAUCUGUAUUCAAUUUAAUAUUAAGAUCAUCUGUUUAACUUUUUAAUGUAUAUUGAUGGGUUAAGAUGUUGUUAUGAAUAUGACCCCACAUGUUGUUCGGUUCCUGAUAUGAAUAUGCCUCAAACUGACUAGUUCUAAAAGUUCUGAGUAUUCUAUAAAGAAGUUUUUACAAAAGGAUUUGUUUAGUCCAACAACAUCAAUAAAAUAAAUUGAAUUUAUAUACCUCCCAGGAUAAUUAAAUAAAUCUAUUGGCUAAUAAAUGAUCAUGAGGUGUAACUAACUGGUCAAUUUCAAACCUGAAUACAGGAAAAAGUACAUGAGUUACAGCUGAGAAAGAGUUCAGCAAAUACAUCAAAAUAUAAUUAAGUUUAUACAAAUGUUAUAUACAGAGGGUCCUUACUGGUUAAAUUCCAGAAUCAGUAAAUCAUAUAAAUGAGCUUACAAUUAAAACUAUGAUAUAAAAACAUAUAUGUAAAAGGUUUGAUAGUGCUACUGUUGGGGCUAACAUAAUAAAUAACGGUUACUCAGUUAAACAAGUGUCAAUAAACUCAGAUUCAAUCCUCAAGCCUAAAGGCUAACUUAUAUAAUGCCUAUCAUCUUUAAAAUUCUCCUGGAUGUUUAGUUGAUAGUACAUUCCUCUUGUAGGCCUUUUUGACCAUGUGAUCUAAUAACAGCACAAAGUAAACUACAACUUUUAUAAAAUUUAAGUCAAUAAAUACAUUAACCUCUUAUAUUUUUAAAAAGAAACUAAAAUCUCUUAGGAAAAAAAACAUGCAAGCACUUAUAAAAAUAGCUUGAGCAUGACGUUACAUAUUUCAAUAUAAAAAAAUUACACAGUCAUUAAUGUCAAUACAUAUGACUACAUGUACAUACAUUUCAUUUGAU
rnacentral:lncRNA from 1 species